CUUUAGUUAGCUUAAUUUAAAAGUUUUGAAUUCUUACUUCAAGGAUGUUUUUUAACACUGAGGA
rnacentral:tRNA from 1 species